rnacentral:ncRNA from 3 species
UUGAAUUCAAUGACGGACCCGAGUACGUUAAAAAGCUGUUGCAGAGAGAGGCUUUGUUUGCUGAGAAAAGCCUUAUCAGACCUUUAACGGAAGCUAGUCCCGAGUGCAGAUAAACACUGCCGCUCUCUUCCGGCGUUAUCGGAUGUGAAGGUGAUAGACGCAUAUGUCUAUAAUCAGGGUGGUACCGCGAGAGCAUCUCGUCCCUGUG